AGGAUGAACGCUGGCGGCGUGCCUAAUACAUGCAAGUCGAGCGAACGGACGAGAAGCUUGCUUCUCUGAUGUUAGCGGCGGACGGGUGAGUAACACGUGGAUAACCUACCUAUAAGACUGGGAUAACUUCGGGAAACCGGAGCUAAUACCGGAUAAUAUUUUGAACCGCAUGGUUCAAAAGUGAAAGACGGUCUUGCUGUCACUUAUAGAUGGAUCCGCGCUGCAUUAGCUAGUUGGUAAGGUAACGGCUUACCAAGGCAACGAUGCAUAGCCGACCUGAGAGGGUGAUCGGCCACACUGGAACUGAGACACGGUCCAGACUCCUACGGGAGGCAGCAGUAGGGAAUCUUCCGCAAUGGGCGAAAGCCUGACGGAGCAACGCCGCGUGAGUGAUGAAGGUCUUCGGAUCGUAAAACUCUGUUAUUAGGGAAGAACAUAUGUGUAAGUAACUGUGCACAUCUUGACGGUACCUAAUCAGAAAGCCACGGCUAACUACGUGCCAGCAGCCGCGGUAAUACGUAGGUGGCAAGCGUUAUCCGGAAUUAUUGGGCGUAAAGCGCGCGUAGGCGGUUUUUUAAGUCUGAUGUGAAAGCCCACGGCUCAACCGUGGAGGGUCAUUGGAAACUGGAAAACUUGAGUGCAGAAGAGGAAAGUGGAAUUCCAUGUGUAGCGGUGAAAUGCGCAGAGAUAUGGAGGAACACCAGUGGCGAAGGCGACUUUCUGGUCUGUAACUGACGCUGAUGUGCGAAAGCGUGGGGAUCAAACAGGAUUAGAUACCCUGGUAGUCCACGCCGUAAACGAUGAGUGCUAAGUGUUAGGGGGUUUCCGCCCCUUAGUGCUGCAGCUAACGCAUUAAGCACUCCGCCUGGGGAGUACGACCGCAAGGUUGAAACUCAAAGGAAUUGACGGGGACCCGCACAAGCGGUGGAGCAUGUGGUUUAAUUCGAAGCAACGCGAAGAACCUUACCAAAUCUUGACAUCCUUUGACAACUCUAGAGAUAGAGCCUUCCCCUUCGGGGGACAAAGUGACAGGUGGUGCAUGGUUGUCGUCAGCUCGUGUCGUGAGAUGUUGGGUUAAGUCCCGCAACGAGCGCAACCCUUAAGCUUAGUUGCCAUCAUUAAGUUGGGCACUCUAAGUUGACUGCCGGUGACAAACCGGAGGAAGGUGGGGAUGACGUCAAAUCAUCAUGCCCCUUAUGAUUUGGGCUACACACGUGCUACAAUGGACAAUACAAAGGGCAGCGAAACCGCGAGGUCAAGCAAAUCCCAUAAAGUUGUUCUCAGUUCGGAUUGUAGUCUGCAACUCGACUACAUGAAGCUGGAAUCGCUAGUAAUCGUAGAUCAGCAUGCUACGGUGAAUACGUUCCCGGGUCUUGUACACACCGCCCGUCACACCACGAGAGUUUGUAACACCCGAAGCCGGUGGAGUAACCUUUUAGGAGCUAGCCGUCGAAGGUGGGACAAAUGAUUGGGGUGAAGUCGUAACAAGGUAGCCGUAUCGGAAGGUGCGGCUGGAUCACCU
rnacentral:rRNA from 1 species